UGGGGAAUAUUGGACAAUGGGGGAAACCCUGAUCCAGCAAUGCCGCGUGAGUGAAGAAGGCCUUAGGGUUGUAAAGCUCUUUCGCCCGCGAAGAUAAUGACGGUAGCGGGAGAAGAAGCCCCGGCUAACUCCGUGCCAGCAGCCGCGGUAAUACGUAGGCAGCAAGCGUUGUUCGGAGUUACUGGGCGUAAAGAGUGCGUAGGCGGUUUUCUAAGUUCGGUGUGAAAUCUCCCGGCUUAACUGGGAGGGUGCGCCGAAGACUGGGAAGCUGGAGUGUGGGAAAGGCAGGCGGAAUUCCUGGUGUAGCGGUGAAAUGCGUAGAUAUCAGGAGGAACACCGGCGGUGUAGACGGCUUGCUAAACCAUAACUGACGCUGAGGCACGAAAGCGUGGGUAGCAAGCA
rnacentral:rRNA from 1 species